UCCCAUGUGGAUGCCUAAAUCUUUCACAUACUGUUUUUCCAUUAUUUGUUGUCCUGAUGGGUUUCUGUAGUUUGUUGUAUUUUUCAGACCUUGAUCUGUUCCGUAGCGGGUUGAUGCCGUCUCCCGGUCUUUCCUCUCCAAUAUACAGGUACACUCUGAAAGAAGGCCCAUUCACUCAGGUGAUACACCUGAGGCAUCCGAUGAUAUCCAAAUGAAAUCGUUUGCAGGUGGUGCACAAGGAACCAGCAGCCUCAGAACCAAGUCCAUCCUUGUCAUUGGGAUGAUAACUGCCGUCAUCAUUUAUACAUUUUAAGAAAUACCAGUAAUAAUCUCAAGUGCUGGAAGGACACUCCUUUGAUAUUUAAUCCAGUGCUAUGUGGGUAGGAAGCAAGCGUUUUACCACAUAACCAUGCCUGCCACCUAUAAUUUAAUAAAUAAGAAAUUUUAUAAAUUUGAUUUUGAUGUACACCAGCCUUGUUAUAAACUUUUACUGUUUAAAUUACUGCCACUCGAUUUAUGCUGUCAGCGUCAUCGUCGAA